GGGGAUCUUCCUUCCGGGUGCUGGGGCCAGCUGAGUUUCACUGCCCUAGGAGCCUGGGAUAGAGGUGGGGAGCUUUCUACUGGGUGCUGGGACCGGCUCACUUUCUUGGCCCUAGGAGCCUGGGAUGGCAGUUGGGGAGCUUCCUUCCUGGUGGUGGGACUGGGUGAGCAUCACUACCCCAGCAGCCUGGCAUGGAGGCUGGGCAGCUUCCUUCUGGGUGCGGGAAACGGCUGAGCUUCACUGCCCUAGGAGUCUGGGAUGCAGGCGGGGAGCUUCCUUUCUCAUGCUGGGACCAGCCUGGCUUCACUGUCCUAGGAUCCUGGGAUGGAGGAGAGGAGCUUCCCUUCUGGUGCUGGGACCAGCUCACCUUCUUGACCCUAGGAGCCAGGGAUGGCAGCCACGGAACUUCCUUCCAGGUGCUACAACCAGCUGUGCUUCACUGCCCUAGGAGCCUAGGAUGGAGGUGGGGAGCUUCCUUCCUGGUGCUGGGACCAGCUGGGCUUCACUGCCCUAGGAGCCUGAGAUGGAGGCUGGGGAGCUUCCCUCCAGGUGCUGGGACUGGCUCACCUUCUUGGCCCUAGGAGCUUGGGAUGGCAGCGGGGAAGCUUCCUUCCGGGUGCUUGCACUGGCUGAGCUUCACUGCCCUAGGAGCCUGAGAUGGAGGCGGGGAGCUUCCUUCCCGGUGCUGGGACCAGAGGGCCUUCACUGCCCUAGGAGCCUGGGGUGGAGACUAGGAGCUUCCCUUCUGGUGCUGGGACCUCCUCACAUUCUUGGCCCUAGUAGCAUGGGAUGGAGGCUGGGGAAGCUUCCCUUCUGGUCCUUGGACAAGCUGGCCUUCACUGCCCUAGGAGCCUGGGAUGGAGGCUGGGGAGCUUCCUUCCAGGUGCUUGGACCAGCUCACCUUCUUGGCCCUAGGAGCCUGUGAUGGCAGCAGGGGAGCUUCCUUCCAGGUGCUGGGAUCAGCUGAGAUUCGCUGCCCUAGGAGCCUGGGAUGGAGGCGGGGAGCUUCCUUCCGGGUGCUGGGACCAGCUGAGCU
rnacentral:lncRNA from 1 species